ACACGAACCGUACGAACGUUAUUCGGAAUUACUGGGCUUAAAGGGUUUGUAGGCGGCCAUGUAAGUCAGGUGUGAAAUCCCUCGGCUCAACCGAGGAACGGCGCUUGAUACUGCAUGGCUUGAGGGAGACAGGGGUAAGCGGAACUGAUGGUGGAGCGGUGAAAUGCGUUGAUAUCAUCAGGAACACCGGUGGCGAAAGCGGCUUACUGGGUCUCUUCUGACGCUGAGGAACGAAAGCUAGGGUAGCGAACGGGA
rnacentral:rRNA from 1 species